AUGUGGAAUAAUAUUAUUGUUGAAGAAAAUAUCUCGAGAUUCGAUCCACAAUAAGCCUAGGAUGAGGUUCAGGAUGACGAACGAAAUCCAACGAGCUCAAGUACAGUUCAAACAAAGUCCAGAUAGAGGAGAUACGUGAAGGAAGGUCGACAGCAGCUGAUAUGGCUUAGGGCCACCGGAGGGGUCCAUGGAACAGAGCAGGUCGGAGGUAGCACGGGCCAGGCCCGACAGC
rnacentral:lncRNA from 1 species